rnacentral:tRNA from 1 species
AACCUAUUAGCUCAAAUGGCAGAGCAAUGUGCCAUUGCACAUGGUGUAGGUUCAAAUCCUACAUAGGUUG